AGAAACGCCACGUGCCUUCAGUUCACAGCUAUUGCAGUGUCACCCUCGUCGUGUUGACUAAGACUUCCUUUGCUAAAGGGCGAACCUGUUGUACAGACCAUCAUUUGCAACGACACCAGAGGUGAUUCUGCAUUCCUCCAGGAGCACGGGCUUCAGCUUGGUUUCCAGCGCUGCAUGGACAUUUGGGGACGCCAAGUCAACUGUAGCAAAUUCUGAAAGACUGCAGACAUGGUGUACAACCUCUGUCUCUCCGUUCCUUUGGAAUAUUGAGGAGUCUUUGGAUGAACUUGCGUUUACUUCUGGCAUGUGUAGCUAGCAAACCUUCACGUGCAUGACGUGGGCUUGAUCAUCGAUGUUGUUGUUGGAUGAGCCAUAGCCAAUGUCAUCGCCGAUCGCAUCAUUUCGGAUGUCAUGACGGCGGUGCAGGAGGGAAGUCAACCAACUUUCCCAAGCUGAUAAAAAUCAACCAACCAGUUCUCUUGGUUGGGGAGUUAUUUGGGUGGUAACGAAGCAGUGGACGAGGCAAUCAAUCGAGCACACCAUUGAGACAUGGAUCAACCUCCACUCAUUGACGGAGUUGUGCUGACUUAGAUCAUUGAUGAUUAAAGUGAUGGCAGAUCUACCAGCUCACUUCACAUCAGAGAGCUCUCUUGAGAAGCACUAUAGA